rnacentral:rRNA from 1 species
UUCGCCGCUCGCGACGUCUUGAGAAGUCCACUGAACCUUAUCAUUUAGAGGAAGGAGAAGUCGUAACAAGGUUUCCGUAGGUGAACCUGCGGAAGGAUCAUUGUCGAAACCCUCAACGAGGAGGACUGUGAAUGUGUCAACGAACGUCGUCGGGCUGGGGCAGCCCCGAACCGACGCAGUCCCUGCCCUUGCGGUGUGGACGACCGACCAAACCCCCGGCGCGACGGGCGCCAAGGAACACAUGACACGCGGGCGGGCGGGCUGGACUCCAUCCCGGUCGCUCCGUAGUUUUUGCUCUGUAUCGGAUGACUCUCGGCAACGGAUAUCUCGGCCCUCGCAUCGAUGAAGAACGUAGCGAAAUGCGAUACGUGGUGUGAAUUGCAGAAUCCCGCGAACCAUUGAGUCUUUGAACGCAAGUUGCGCCCGAGGCCUUCUGGUCGAGGGCACGCCUGCCUGGGCGUCACGCCGUCGUCGCUCCGCGCGCCUGAGUGGACAUGAGUGAUGGAGCCGGAUGUGGACAUUGGCCCCCCGUGCCCCUGGGCGCGGUCGGCCGAAGAGCGGGCCGUCGCCGGUGGUCGGACACGACGGGUGGUGGUGCCAUGAGCAAGCCGAACGUAGUGGCCUGGCCAUGGAGACGAGCUACGGAGGACCCCCCCAGCCCAUGCCUUGGACUGCGACCCCAGGUCAGGCGGGGCCACCCGCCGAGUUUAAGCAUAUAAAUAAGCGGAGGAGAAGAAACUUACGAGGAUUCCCAUAGUAACGGCGAGCGAACCGGGAUCAGCCCAGCUUGAGAAUCGGGCGGCCGCGUCGUCCGAA